GAAUUAAGAAAAAAAUGUAUUAUCAAAAAAAUCGCCGCCCUAAACCACGGCCCAAGGAGAACGAGAACGGAGAAUUUAGGAGAUGGACGGCUAGGAUCCUCGCUAUCUCCGAACGGGUGUUGUUGGAAGUUCUCCGUAGAUGCAAAUACUUUCCUCGCCGGCGGCGGCUCCUCUCCCUUCGUCGGCCGUCGACCUCGUUUACCGGCUUCCCGGCACGGUGUAUUGGCUCGCCUGAGUGCUUCGGUGCCCUACGCAUGGCUGAGGGCCCGACGCUUUAUUUCAGCGCGGUACGAUCUGCCCAUCGCUGCACGGCGGCGGUCCGCCAACCAGUGCCUCCUACCGGUGAUGUACGCGACGGCCGCGCGCUCCUCGCCAGCGGGAAGAAAUUCAGUGUAGUGGCCACACUGGGAUCACGGAAUUAAGGCUUCAACCGCGGCAACCUCCUCGGUCCAAUUGUCUUGCAGGCAACAGGUGGUAGGAUCAAAAUAUUGGCCAGUGGGCAAAGGACUGAAGCUCUGGGUCCAAGAGAAUAAUCACAACGGAGGCGUGAACAUACAGAUGACAAGCUAUAAUCUUCUGAAUUUGGAACGUUUCAGACAGUCUAUGAUGCUGACAUCCCUGACCAGGUAGUAGAAUUUAUUGAUGAUACAAACGUGACAGUACAGGUACCUUGUCUGACAAGUUCUUAGCACCUUGAUGGCUUUCUAUUGUUCUGCUGCUGCUUACUUGUCGCAUGUGAUCCUGGACAAACAUAAAUUGAUAUGGUAGUUAUCUUUGAACACGAAGUGACUCGGUACUGAUUGAAAGCAACUAUUUAAGGCUUUUCGGUAAAUAGGAUGGUGUCAUUGUGGUAGAAAUGGUAGCUCACUAGUUGCAAGAAGUAUCUAUCUAAAUUUUGGUUUCAGUUAAUUUAGUCAGGUUUCAGUUCAUCGUAAGCUAGGGCCGGAUUUCUUUUCCAUUAUGUGGCCAGGCCUAAAACCCCCGCUCAAGAACCAAGAGACAGCCCAUGAUGCCCCGGCUGGCCCAAGAGAGGCUGCCAACUAGGACUAGGGCGGCAGAGCACUGAGUUGUAGUGUUCGAUAUAUAAUGGACAGCACAUGGGAUAAAUGAAGCAAGCAGGGAAAACCAAAAUCCAGUCACCCUUCUCCUGCACGGGCAUUGAGGCUGCAUCAGCCUCGCUUCUCUAUUGAGGAAAACUAUAAGCGAAAGCAAACAUGAGGAGUGCAUAGUGGUUACUAGAGAGGGAGAACAAGAGGAAGAUGCACAUGCGAUAUUUGCACACACCAAGAGGGCAAGAAGGCAGAGGUGAUAGUGAUGUGAGGAGGAAGAGGUCCUCUUCAGUUUACUCAGUCCGCUGGUAUGGAGUACAUUCUUAUCCAGUUUCACAGUCCACCGCACAUGCGUUGUUGACCUGAGAUUGCUAGUUGCUCUUGAAGUCUCCUUUUGUUCAGUUCCAUUGACAGUGACCUUGAUGGACUAAUGUUUGGAUGGCAGGUAUAUUUUAAUAGACAGAACCUUGCUUGUCUGUGUUCUGUGACACGCAGGUUGUAGGAAUAUCGCUCAGUUUUGGCUUUGGUUCAUGUCUUGGCCAUUUUGUUUUCAUUUCUUUCAUUCUGUGAAUGAACAUUUGCAGGAGCUCCGCCCUUCAACUUGGGAGAGAGGAAAAAUGUCACAACAGUCUUGUUAACAGGUACUGAAAGCAUGGGUUUCCACUUCGAUGAAAGAUAUUUCCGUGGCUCGCAACUAGAAGAUGUUGGCUGCUGACUGCUUUGUCAGAAAUGGACUUCCUUGUAAUGUGGAAUGCGUGUUCUGUUAUUCGGUCAAGCAAGGAACGAAGAUGCUGACCACCUCCUGGUGGAAUGAAGCCAUAAUCUGGAGCAGACUCUGCAUAAAUAGCCACGAGGAAAGCAAUUUGCUCGGACUUCAUCGAUCGGUAGUGAAAAAUCAUUGUAUUUCUUUGCAAUUUUGAAGGUGUCUCAGAAGGAGACAUUCAGAAAGCAUGCGUUUAUGCUGUUUUGGGGUACAUAUAUGUUGUUGAAAUUGAACAACGGAUGAUUAGGGAUUGUCUCGAGUGACGUGAUUGAUUAGUGAGUAUUUAGUCAUGGUGUGUACGCCGGCCUUGCGACUAAGGUCACCGCACACACGAUAGCUGACACCACGAUGUUUUUUUUGAGUAAAUUGGGUUGCCUCGUGGGAGCGCGUCUUAGAGCA